rnacentral:rRNA from 2 species
GCGACCCCAGGUCAGGCGGGACUACCCGCUGAGUUUAAGCAUAUAAAUAAGCGGAGGAGAAGAAACUUACAAGGAUUCCCCUAGUAACGGC